CUGUUGUUGAGGAAGAUAAUGACGGUACUCAACAAGGAAGUGACGGCUAACUACGUGCCAGCAGCCGCGGUAAAACGUAGGUCACAAGCGUUGUCCGGAAUUACUGGGCGUAAAGGGAGCGCAGGCGGGAAGACAAGUUGGAAGUGAAAUCCAUGGGCUCAACCCAUGAACUGCUUUCAAAACUGUUUUUCUUGAGUAGUGCAGAGGUAGGCGGAAUUCCCGGUGUAGCGGUGGAAUGCGUAGAUAUCGGGAGGAACACCAGUGGCGAAGGCGGCCUACCGGGCACCAACUGACGCUGAGGCUCGAAAGUGUGGGUAGCAAACAGGAUUAGAUACCCUGGUAGUCCACACCGUAAACGAUGAUUACUAGGUGUUGGAGGAUUGACCCCUUCAGUGCCGCAGUUAACACAAUAAGUAAUCCACCUGGGGAGUACGACCGCAAGGUUGCAACUCAAAUGAAUUGAAGGA
rnacentral:rRNA from 1 species